AUGCAGACAGCUCACAGCUGGCAGGGUAAUAUGAUCCUUCAGUUCUUUUUCGGAAAAAGAGGCAACAGCUGUCCUGUCACAAAUGCAGGAUUGGGAAGUUUGGACAGCGCUGUCAUCGCUGGGGGGACACGGAGGAUUGAAAUUCUGAGGAGACCCUCCGGGGCCCAGGGACCCCUGAGAAUAAUUGGAGGCUGGGGAGGCCCCUGGAGCUGACGGAGGGAACAGCGGCUCCCCUACUGGAAGCCCGAGGAACAGCAGUCCUGCCUCGCUGGAGUCAGCAGACAGUCACAGGGCCCAAGGAUGCCACCGUUCAAGAGCAGAAGGCAGGCCUAGGAGUCUGGUGGAGCGUGGUGGGCAGAGGCCAAAGAAAGCCUGGAUCCUUUUUGAGCUUCCAAGUCUCAGGACACAGAGGUCCCUGACUUUAGAAGCAUAGAAACGUUAGUACAGAAAGGAAUCUUCAAAAGUGAGGGUAAAAUUAUUUAAUACAGUUCUGUGGUUUCCAAACCCGAAACAAAAAUUAGUUGCUUUUCUCUAGACUGAUUCAGCCAACAAAUAUUUGUUAGGAGUCUGCAAUCAGCGUAUUCAGAAAGACUUCACAUGUGAAAUAUACAUUUUUAAAAAAAUGACGUUAUCAAAUCCCUUCAGUGGUCUUUUCUAAAAUAUUUAUAACCUGAAAGCAAUAAUGUACAUAGUAAAAAAUUCAAACUGAACCAAAAGUUAUACAAUGGAAAGUAAAAAUCCUCUCUUUCUCCCUUGAAUGUCUGUUUAAAAUGCUCAAAGAGCUUGGCGUAUAGUAGCUGUUCAAUAAACAUUAGUUUGCUACCGAUGAACGUUGAAGG
rnacentral:lncRNA from 1 species